rnacentral:rRNA from 2 species
GCAAGUCGAGCGGAAACAGGGGGUGCUUGCACCCCGCUGUCGAGCGGCGGACGGGUGAGUAAUGCAUAGGAAUCUGCCCAGUAGUGGGGGAUAGCCCGGGGAAACCCGGAUUAAUACCGCAUACGCCCUUCGGGGGAAAGCAGGGGAUCUUCGGACCUUGCGCUAUUGGAUGAGCCUAUGUCGGAUUAGCUAGUUGGUGGGGUAAGAGCCUACCAAGGCGACGAUCCGUAGCUGGUCUGAGAGGAUGAUCAGCCACAUCGGGACUGAGACACGGCCCGAACUCCUACGGGAGGCAGCAGUGGGGAAUAUUGGACAAUGGGGGCAACCCUGAUCCAGCCAUGCCGCGUGUGUGAAGAAGGCUUUCGGGUUGUAAAGCACUUUCAGCGAGGAGGAAAACCUUAUGGCUAAUACCCAUGAGGCUUGACGUUACUCGCAGAAGAAGCACCGGCUAACUCCGUGCCAGCAGCCGCGGUAAUACGGAGGGUGCAAGCGUUAAUCGGAA